rnacentral:tRNA from 1 species
GGUGGCUCAGUGGUAGAGUGCUUGCCUUGCAUGUAUGAGGCCCUGGGUUCGAUUCUUAGCACCA